UGUAUACAAUUUUUUUUACGCAGAGGGCCGGCCCAUCCCUGGCUCUGGAAGCCAAACCUAUCUCCUCGACCGCACCCUCCUCUCAUUCUUUUUCUGCUCUCUGCCAUCAUCGUCGCGAUUCUGUUUUGGAGAAGAUUCACCGGAUAUCGACUCUCCCUCGUUGCCGUUCCCUGCUCUCCCAAGCCCUAUAUUUCUAGGGUUACGGCUUCUUGAUCCGCGGAUUUCUCCACUGCCCGGCGGUCGCACGCGGUUUCAGCCUGAAACAUGCCUCUCAGACUAGAAAUCAAGAGGAAACUUGCACAAAGGUCAGAAAGAGUAAAAUCUGUAGAUCUACAUCCAACAGAGCCAUGGAUUUUGACGAGUCUUUAUUCCGGAAGUGUCUGCAUCUGGAACUAUCAAUCUCAGACUAUGGUAAAAUCUUUUGAGGUCACAGAAUUGCCUGUGCGAUCAGCAAAAUUUAUAGCACGCAAACAGUGGGUCGUGGCUGGGGCAGAUGAUAUGUUUAUCCGGGUGUACAAUUAUAAUACAAUGGACAAGGUUAAAGUGUUUGAGGCACAUACAGACUACAUCAGGUGUGUGGCUGUCCACCCAACCCUUCCAUAUGUUUUAUCAUCAUCUGAUGACAUGUUGAUAAAGCUUUGGGACUGGGAGAAGGGUUGGAUGUGUACUCAAAUUUUUGAGGGACAUUCCCACUAUGUGAUGCAAGUCACUUUUAAUCCAAAAGACACCAAUACAUUUGCAAGUGCCUCCCUCGAUCGCACAGUAAAGAUCUGGAAUCUUGGUUCUCCAGACCCAAAUUUUACUCUAGAUGCUCAUUUGAAGGGAGUGAAUUGCGUUGAUUACUUUACUGGUGGUGAUAGGCCAUACUUGAUUACCGGUUCAGAUGAUCACACUGCAAAGGUCUGGGAUUACCAAACCAAAAGUUGUGUUCAAACACUUGAAGGUCAUACCCACAAUGUUUCAGCUGUCUGUUUUCAUCCUGAGCUUCCUAUAAUCAUUACAGGUUCAGAGGAUGGAACUCUUCGUAUAUGGCAUGCAACUACAUACAGACUGGAGAACACGUUAAAUUAUGGCCUUGAACGAGUUUGGGCUGUUGGUUACAUGAAAGGAUCAAGGAGGGUUGUAAUUGGAUAUGAUGAAGGAACCAUUAUGAUAAAACUUGGUCGUGAAGAACCAGUUGCCAGUAUGGAUAGCAGUGGGAAAAUUAUAUGGGCAAAGCAUAAUGAAAUACAGACAGUGAAUAUCAAGACUGUUGGAGCAGAUUUUGAGGUCACAGAUGGUGAAAGACUGCCUUUAGCUGUGAAGGAAUUGGGAAGCUGUGAUCUCUACCCACAAAGCUUAAAACAUAAUCCAAAUGGGAGAUUUGUUGUUGUUUGUGGAGAUGGGGAAUACAUAAUAUAUACUGCAUUGGCAUGGAGAAAUAGAUCCUUUGGAUCUGCUUUGGAAUUUGUCUGGUCAUCUGAUGGAGAAUAUGCGAUCAGGGAAAGUACAUCAAGAAUAAAGAUUUUCAGUAAAACAUUCCAGGAGAAAAAAAGUAUCCGACCAACCUUUUCAGCAGAGCGUAUCUUUGGAGGGACAUUACUGGCAAUGUGCUCAAAUGACUUCAUUUGCUUUUAUGAUUGGGCAGAGUGCAGAUUAAUACGUCGGAUUGAUGUGAAUGUUAAAAAUAUUUAUUGGGCUGAUAGUGGUGACCUAGUGGCGAUUGCUAGUGAUACAUCAUUUUACAUCCUAAAAUACAAUAGAGAGAUUGUUUCUUCCUAUCUAGAAUCUGGAAAGCCAGUGGAUGAGCAAGGUGUGGAGGAUGCAUUUGAGCUUCUUCAUGAAGUAAAUGAGCGGGUCCGAACGGGGAUAUGGGUUGGAGACUGCUUUAUUUACAAUAAUUCUUCUUGGCGACUAAAUUAUUGUGUUGGAGGGGAGGUCACCACAAUGUUUCACUUGGAUCGGCCUAUGUACUUGUUGGGAUAUCUUGCUAAUCAAAGCCGGGUGUAUCUUAUUGACAAGGAAUUCAAUGUUAUGGGCUACACCUUGCUUCUCAGUUUGAUUGAGUACAAAACUCUAGUGAUGCGUGGGGAUCUGGAUCGUGCAAAAGAAAUCUUGCCAUCGAUACCGAAGGAACACCAUAACAGUGUGGCUCGUUUCUUGGAGUCUCGGGAUAUGCUGGAUGAUGCUCUUGAAGUAGCUACAGAUCCUAAUUACAGAUUUGAUCUAGCUGUACAGCUUGGAAGAUUAGAGGUUGCAAAGGCAAUUGCUAUUGAAGUACAAAGUGAGUCUAAGUGGAAGCAGUUGGGAGAACUAGCUUUGUCUACCGGGAAGUUAGAAAUGGCUGAAGAGUGUCUAUCACAUGCUAUGGAUUUCAGUGGCUUAUUGCUUCUUUACUCAGCCCUUGGAGAUGCUGAAGGGAUAACAAAACUUGCAUCUCUUGCUAAAGAGCAAGGGAAGAAUAAUGUUGCUUUCCUUUGUCUAUUUAUGCUAGGUAAAUUGGAGGAUUGCCUUCAAUUGUUGGUGGAGAGUAAUCGUAUACCAGAAGCUGCACUGAUGGCACGUUCCUAUCUUCCAAGCAAAGUCUCUGAGAUUGUAGGAGUAUGGAAAAAGGAUCUCAAUAAGAGCAACCCAAAAGCUGCAGAAUCGUUGGCUGAUCCUGAAGAAUUCCCUAAUUUAUUCGAGGAUUGGCAAGUUGCUCUCGCUGUCGAAUCAAAUCUUGCCCAGGAAAGGGGUAAUUAUCCUCCCGCUGUGGAAUAUUUAAACUAUGCUGAAAGGUCAAAUGUCAAUCUCGUGGAAGCUUUCAAAAGCAUGCAAGUUGAUGAAGAGGAUGUACCGCUUGAAAAUGGAGAUUCAGGUCAUGAGGUGACUGAAGAGAAUGGCACGGAGGAAGGCCAAGAAGAAGCGGUUGAAGUUGAAGCUGAUGAGUCUACAGAUGGUGCAAUCCUUGUUAAUGGGAAUGAGGGUGAGGAAGAGUGGGGUACGAAUAAUGAAGGAACCCCAUCAGCCUAAUAGCAAUUGGUUGGGCAAGUGUAAAAUUCAAAUUUUGUAUCCGUGUUAACUCCCCAUCAAUAGGGACCUUACAAGACAAGAAGUUUCAGAGAUCUGUCUCCCCUUCUUGAGGUUGCUGCAAGGAAAAGUGUAUGAGCUAUAAUUCUCCGGACAGCAUAUCCAGACCCACGUAAACGGUAAUCUAAUAAUUGGUGUAAUGUCGCGGACCGCUGCUUGUUCCAUUGGAUUCAUAGAAGGAUAGGGAGAGUCGUAGACGGCUGGCUUUUCUAGGCAUCCUUUUUCGUCUGUCCAUCAGACAGCUGUAUCUCACAAGCUUUCAUUUUCCAUUUUGUUAUUCAUUGGGGUUUAUAUAUGUUGUCAUUGAAUAGGUAUUAUUGGGAACAAUAUAGCACCACUGAGUUUUUCUGAUCUAAAAGAGAUCGAUCAUGUUUGAGUUACAGAUGAGAUUUGUAGCCUGAUUGCUUCAUCUUAAAUUAGACUCAUCUAAUAUUA